GCUCCUAAUGACCUCAACUAUGGACGGCAAGAAUUUCCCCAGUUAGAACAUGCUGAAACAUAGAUAUUUGAUUGAAUUCACAAAGCCAGUGCUGCAGAAUCUCACCAGUCCAGUCUAUGCUGAAACACAUAUUCUUUCUGCGCAGAGAGCGAGUGGCUUCUUUUCAGCUUGCCUACAUAUUACAGUGAAGGGUGUUUAUAUACAUCAGAGACAGAGUGUGACAUUUGUGAUCGCCAGGAAAAGUGUUUUUAAAUACACCAAGCAAUCCUUUACAUUGUGUGUUCAAUGGAAUCAACACCGUGCUUUGAGAGAUGUUUCUGGCAUCGGAGAAGGCCCAUUUACAAGUGGCUGAGGAAACCCAUAUCAGCUUGAGCGUGGAGACAAAGAAGUGGAAUAAGCUUUUGACCCGGUCUUCCCCCAGACAACUGCUGACACCCCCUUUAGGGUAUGCCUCAGAGCAAGGAGGCUGUCAAAUUUACCAAGCAGCAUUCAAACAGAGCAUCACAAUGUAGCUCCUUUCCCCUGGUCCAUUCAAGAACUCAGUAUUUUCUCAGCCUGAGAAAGUGCACGCCAGCAUAUUUCAGGCUGCAGAGCUCAUUUCACCUUUCCUCAAAUGUGAACCUGUGGACAGUCUUGUCACAAAUUUCCCUGUCAAUUCCUGAGCCUGAUUAAUAGGAAGGAGCAGAUGUCCAAGUCUUUAUCUAUCAUGCCAGACAGUUUUCUUUGUGAUUUACUUGUGUGUCAAGAAUGACCCUUCCUUGUACUGAAGAGACCAGCACUAGAAAGGAUAGCCUUUUAUUGACUGAGCUGUCCACCUCCAUCUGGGUAUUGAAAGCACACGUUCUGUACUGCAGUUGUGAUGUAGUGACUAAUUAUAGACUAGCACCAGUGUCUGAAAAUGCACAGAGCAACUGCCAUCAUUAUGAUAAAGGGUGAGAGGUUUCAGUUUUUCUCUAGGAAGAGAUUUAGGUGUUUUUGAAAAGGAAGAGAAACAAUACAUUUAGUGUGUGUGCAUGUUUCAAUGUAAAACAAGCGGUAAUCAGUGUGUGCCGGUACUUCGUUUCCUGUCUAUUAAAUAUAUAGUUGGGAAUUUAUGGCAAAUUGGGGAGGAAAGUGGAAAUAGGUGAGUGAGGAGAGGGGCAGACAGAAGUAGCCAAGUAAAACGGGGUGGAGAAGCAAAAAGAAACUGAAGGGAUUGGGAGCAAUGUGAAUGGAGAGGCAAUCCUGACUCUACUCCCUGUGAUGUCACUGUGAGCAGGAAUAGGCCAUUCCAUUACUUUUUACUUCUUUAUUGCUCUGUGCCAAUGGAAUCCAAGAGAUAUUAAAGGCCAGAUAUUCCUGGCAUAGCUCCCCUUGUUGGACAAGUAAUUAUUCUCUGACCAUUGCAUUUCUCUGUUUGUUCCAACAGCAAAAUAUAUCUGCAGAGAUUUUGUUUAAGAUGUUUAGUUUUACAUUAUCCAAAUAAGGCCAUUGAUUUCCACCAGUAUGAAAACAGGUGAUGGAUAUCAUGAGAGAUAUUGAUCCCAUCCCUCUCACAGAAGCCCCCAGAACUGCUUUAGCAUCUGCUGUCUAGUGGCACAUGAGGCUACCUAUUUUCUUUACCACUACUGUCUGUUUGGCUCCAUCAUAAGUUGUCACUAUGACGGAAGCAUCUUUUUUGAUCAUGUGAUAGGUCAUUCUUUAUCCUUCAUGCCUUCUCUUUCCUCCGGGUAGGAUCCAGGCUAAAACAUACCUUAUGCUUCUGCAAUGGGGUAGGCUGAUGGGAGACCAAACCACCAUAAUCAUCUCUGUCUAAAUAUUGAGUCAGCAGACUGCUGACUCAUGCAGCACAACACUUCCACAUUGGUUACAUGAUUUUAUCAGUGAAUUUCCAAGAUACUUCUUAACCAAUGCUGAGGGAGUGCAUUCAGCUUCUUGUUGUGUAAUUCCCUCAUUGGCCACGCUUCUGAGACAUACAGUUGUGUUGGAAGAUCAAUAGAGUCGAAUAAUCUCCUUGCCUCUUCCAGAGUUUGACAAAUGGUAAAACAGUCCACUGACUUUACUAAUGUUUGCUUUCACUUGUUUAAUGAGCAGGCCAUUAGCAGAUAUUGUACUUCCAAGACAGACAAAAUCAUCACCUCUUGCACACUCUUCACCAUCAAUCACACAUCUGCCAGUGCUGACAGCAUGCUCUUUUAUCUCCAUUAUCUUUGUCUUCUGCUUACUGAUACGAAGUCCCACUUUGGCCGUUUCCCCUUUUAUGCUCAUACAGGGUCUUUUGAAUUCCAUCCAAGUUGGUAUCCAGUAUGACUAUAUCGUCUACAAAAGCAAGUCUCUCAGCUUAUUUCUUGCCCAAACUAUACAAGUGUCCUCGGCAGCCGCCAUCGCUCAUUUCAUCACAAGUCCAUGCCAAUGCAGAAGAGAGGUGGGAUAGUAUGCAACCUUGCCUUACACCAGUACGGUAAUGUACUCCAUAUGUAAUUCACCAUCACUUCCUUCCCAGAUUUUAACAUUCUAGCAUCAUUCUUAUCAUAGCUUAGUGCAUUACCACUCUUCAGUUGCCUUAUAGCCUUAGUUUCCUCCUCAAACAUGAUUAUUUCUAGCGAAAUAGUAAGUCUGCUAUUUCUUUACAUUUCUCAUUGUGUGCUAGCUGUUCUGGCUGGUUAAGCACAGCCUGGGAAUGUUCCAUACAAUGGGAUCUCCAUCCUUCCUUCCUGGUUCAAUAUUACAACAGUUUGAGAAUUGUCAUCUCACUUGUUUAGAUACCAGAAAAAGCUUUUUAGAAUCCCAUUUCUUAUACUCCUCCUCAACUUCUCAUGUUUUAUUUUCCAUCCAUUAUCUCUUAUCUCUUCUGCUGAUCUUUUAUCUUCAUUGUCUUUGUUUGCAUAUCCUUGUUAAAGAAUAGCUCUUCAAUUGCUGUCUUGCUCUUGUUGAAUGCUCUUCUUUAAUUCUUCUCUCUUCAACAAACCUCAAUGUAUUAGAUUGGAGCCAUUUUUCUUUCUUAGAUCUUCAUCCCCACCGUAAUCCUGGUUUCAUCCUCACUUGCUUCUUUGAAAAACUGUCAUUGUUCUUCUAUGUCAUAUAGCAGUGUCUUUAACUCUUCAAAUCUAUUGCUAAGUUGCAAUUUGAAAUGUGCCUUCACUUCUGGAUCUACUAACUUUCUAGAUUCAGACAUGCAUUCUUCCUUGCAUAGUAUUACCUUAUUUUGAUUGUCUCCAAAAUAAGAUGGUCUUUAUGACAUCAGCACUUGCCUACACUGGGGUGUCUUACAGUGAUCUUCUCCAGUGCUUACCAAUAGCAACACGAUCAAGCUGUUUCUAGGUGAAGCCAUCAUUUGAUCUCCAUGUCAGUUUUUCCUUGUGUGGAAAUAGUGUAUCCCCAAUGCAAAGACUGUGUUUGUAUCCAGUAUUAUCAUGACCAAUCCAUGCAUUUGGAUCUCCCAUAAGGAAAAUAAUGUCAUUUAUUGAUUUUGCCAAGGACGCUCUGCAAUCUUUCAUAGAGACAGUCUGACCUAUUCAUUGCUAUCAUUUGUUGGUGCAUAACACUGAAAACUGAGACUUUAGUGCGGUUUGUCACAAAGCGAGCAGUUAAUGUUCUUGAGUGUACAGGUUCCUGUAUCUUCAGUGCUUUAGUAGUUUCCUUACUCAACAAUAAGCCAUCCUCAUCCAGAAUAUAAAACAAUUAUACCUCCCAUCCAGUCCUCCUCCUCUCACUCAGUCUAAGUCUACUUAGGCCAAAGAUUUUCAUUUCUCGGAUAACUUGUAUAAGUCUACCUAUGCUUCAGAGUUAUCCAACAUUCCAACAUCCAAUUUUUGUCUUAACCUUAGUUGUAAAGAUACCCUCUUUUCAGAUGCAGAAUUUCCUUGUGGCUCUGAUUCUCCAUCAUCACUGUGUCAGCCUGGAUUUGCUGGCUGACCAGUAUUAUCUUGUCUUAUGUCUCUAGCAGAUCAUGGUUCUCCAUAGCUGAUGUCUGUAUUUGCAAAUCUGUGACAGUCAUCUUGUCUUUGGGUUGUUUCCAUAACAGAAAGCAUUUUCACAUGGACAGGUUGUUAGCCUGACUCAUAACCCUCUGCCAGGACCACCAGUGGACUGCCUUAAGUCUGGCUCCUAUCAUUUGACCUGUCUGGUUUAUGCGGGCCUACCAGCAGUUAUACAACUGUCAGCAUAACUCUCAGAGCUCCACAACCACCUUCUUCCUCAUUUAAAAAAAAAAAAAGGGAUAAAAAUGCACCACACUAUGAUUAUUUUGCGAUGGCUGGAACUACUCAGAGUAUCAUGAGAAACUGGUCCAAAUAUUUUCAAUUAAAGGAAAUUUUGUCAAAAUCUCUUGUUUUAUCAAAGCCACUUCAGUUUUUGACAAAGACUUAAAC